UACGAAGGGGGCUAGCGUUGCUCGGAAUUACUGGGCGUAAAGGGCGCGUAGGCGGACAGUUUAGUCAGAGGUGAAAGCCCAGGGCUCAACCCUGGAAUUGCCUUUGAUACUGGCUGUCUUGAGUACGGGAGAGGUGUGUGGAACUCCGAGUGUAGAGGUGAAAUUCGUAGAUAUUCGGAAGAACACCAGUGGCGAAGGCGACACACUGGCCCGUUACUGACGCUGAGGCGCGAAAGCGUGGGAGCAAACAGG
rnacentral:rRNA from 1 species